AGAUAAUCAUCGUGCAAAACUUCAUGUUAAACGAUAAUUAGCCAGCAUACCGAAAUUAUUAGGCCCGCAGCCAGCGUAAAUCGGUGCUGAUUGGUUGCAAACACUGAAGAGCUACGGAUGAAUUUAACUACAAAGGGAUUGUGCUGGCUUUAGUACUGCAAUGCGAAAUAUCAACAUAUCCUGAAAAUAUCUACUACCAUUAGAAUAAAAAUAAAUCUCAUAAUUUUUUAUACUAUAUUUAUUUGUGCUGAUUAUAAUUUAAUCUAAGGUCAUCAUCAUUU